rnacentral:lncRNA from 1 species
GCAGCACAGAGUGUCGAGAGCACCAGCUCUGCUGGGGGUUUCAGCAAGGUCCCUGGGCCUGGAAGCUCCCACCUUCAGGGUCACCUUCAGGCCAUGACUGCCAAGAGCCAAGAGAUCGUGGUGCUACCCUGCUCAAAUGCCAGGCUGCACCUGCCUUUUGGGAGCCAGGAUGGCGCAGCAGAUGUGGCAGCAUCCUCAGCAGAGGAUGUUUGUGGAGCUGCCGGCCACACAGUUGGGCACAGGGAGCACCAGUGGUCACCCAGUGGGUCCCCUGGGUCAUGGGACAAGAGCUGCCCAGAAGAUGACUACGGACUGGUGGCCAACAAGAGGAGGUCCUACUCGUUCACCUCAGCCACCUACAAGAAGAUCACACCCAUAGCUGUGCCCAAGGAUCCCGUGGAGGCCGGGAGCAGCUACUCCAUCACACUAUACAUCGGGGAGCAAGCGCCAGCCGUGCCCAGGACACGCUGCCACUCCUUUGUAGCCAGGCCAGGAAGCCCACGGGAGGUGCUGGGGGAGAAGACCCAGGGCCCUCCUCGUCCCAAGAACAAAUCCGUCUUCAAGAAGUUCUUUGGGAAGAAGGAGUGAGCCCCAGACAAGGAGGAGAAAAGCAAAAGCCUGCCCCUUUUCCUCCUCUCAGGCCUGCUUCAGGUGCAACCUUAGUAAAGUCUCUCCUCCCAGCACCAGCCCUCACUGCUCGCCGUCGCCUUGGGGCACCCAGCACUACGAGGGGGAGAGACGCUGUAGCAAGCGGCUCUGCUUCAGCACAGCCCCAGGGGGCUCCUCACUCCCAGCCACGGCCGCUGCCUUCCUCAGCCAGGCGCUGAGCCCCUUGUCUGCCCCGCGGGCCCCUUCCCAGCAGGCAGGGGCACUCUCCUUGCCCUCGCCAAGCUGGUGGUGGCUCUCCCUGCCGCUGAUUCAGCUGGAUCCCCAGGCAUCCCUCCUACACGCAGCACAAGCAGGGUUGAGGGGGUUGUUAUUUUUAUUAAAAAAC